rnacentral:rRNA from 1 species
UUUCUUUGGGUGUGCUGGAGAGAGGAGCGAGCGCGGGGAGGGAGAGGGUGCGCCUACUGUUACCGCUGGCGCCGCACAGGCGAAGGGUACCAGCACCGUCAGGACGGGCGCGUCUGUUAACCCGAACGUCGCGGAGUGGAGGAGCUGGAGGGCAAGGCCGCCUGGUAGGGAGGCCUUUGGCGGUCGUCGACCUACGCUGGAGUUCACCGCAGCAGGAAGGGUCUAGACCCGGUUCGCCGAAAACGGGAGGGAGAAGCUGCCCUCCACGGGUAGGGCGUUAAACAGAAGCUCGUCGGCGUGGGUGGCCCUGCGUGGACGAACGGCCCGAUACUGCGGUGGGUAGGGAUUUGGCGACCGCCGCCGCCGUUGUUCGGCCGCUGCGGAAGCGGUUCCAACGUCGCUACCUUUGGUGUGAUCCCAAGGCCCACGACAACCCUCCCCGCUCGCACGCCGUACCCGGAGAUCGGAAACCCUGUGUAGAGGUGUGCGUAUUCGAUCCUAGAACGUCGUCGCCACCGCCGUUUACUGCGGGGUAGAAGGGAAUCGGCCGCUGCCAACUAGUUGCGCCACUGUCGUACGUGACGGGGACAGGAAGUGUAGAGUUACAGCGUCAGCACCGGAAGGAGCAGGUAGUCUCCCCUUAGAACCACCCGUUGAAGAAGAAGCGGUACCAAGAGGUCGUUGACGUGUUCAUCCAGCCCAGAGAGCCUAACCACGGGGCACCUUAAGUCUAACAUCCACUACAUACCGCGACGUGUUCUCUCCUGUACAGAUAACCUUUGUUGAUUUAAAGAGACACGGUACGAUGACGUACUUGAUGGCUUAGGUAUUCGUUGAGAUGUGUGUUCUCAAGUCCCAACUUAUCUCAACAAGGGAGGUGUACCAACCUUUAAUUCCAAAACACAUAUGUUUCAAAGUCAUAACAACCGAACAGUAUAAUAAGCCACCAGUGGAUGGGUUCGUUGUUCGUGCCUAACACCUUCUUCACUUUUUAUAUGAUCUCUAAUAUACACAAGCUUUAGUUUACGAUCGGGAUCUUUAUAAUCAGCUUGUUCAGCAAGUUUAGCAAUAAAAUCAUUACAUAUAUUCAGUUAUGUUGAAACCAUUAGUUCAACUAGUUUAAAGAAGAAAAAUAAAUGGAAAAAAAGAGACUUGGUAAAAAUAGGAAAAGAAGGACUUAGUGUAUUGAUUGUAUCAAAUUGAUAGUCCAGAAGUCAUAUUUGCCUGUUUCCUUCUUUACAAGAAGUUCAGAGUUCGUAACAACCCAAGACUGCCACUCUUAUAGAAAAUGUCACUCGAAAACCGAUAGGACCCACCACCUUACCACGAUCUCCCAAGAGUCAAAUUACGGUUCAUAAAACUGUCGUUCUACCAUAUCGACGUUCAUGACGAACGAACCUGUUGCUACAUCAAAUACCUGAAACCUAUCGUUGAAGGCAAGGUUCUAAGACCUCUAGAGAAUGGAGAACUAGCUUCAAGGUACCCCUACUGCAGGUUUAAGGUUCUGAGGACAACUGUUCUCCAACUCAUGUCUAUACAGUGUAAUACUGUAAAGACGGUAAUCCUGCGUGAUAAAAUCUUGGGUAACACCCAAACCAGUAAACAGUGGGUAAGAAAAAUUAUAACCGAAGGGUUUUG